rnacentral:rRNA from 1 species
UGCCUAACACAUGCAAGUCGAACGAGGUAGCAAUACCUAGUGGCGGACGGGUGAGUAACACGUGGGAAUCUGCCUUCAGAUGGGGGAUAGCAGGCCGAAAGGCCUAUUAAUACCGCAUAUGUGUGCAUCUCGACAGGGGUGCACAUGAAAGGAGCAAUCCGUCUGAAGAUGAGCCCGCGCCCGAUUAGCUAGUUGGUAGGGUAAAGGCCUACCAAGGCUUCGAUCGGUAGCUGGUCUGAGAGGAUGAUCAGCCACAAUGGGACUGAGACACGGCCCAUACUCCUACGGGAGGCAGCAGUGGGGAAUUUUGUGCAAUGGGGGAAACCCUGACACAGCGACACCGCGUGAGCGAAGAAGCCCUUUGGGGUGUAAAGCUCUGUCAGCAGGAACGAAAAAAAUGACGGUACCUGCAGAGGAAGCAUCGGCUAACUACGUGCCAGCAGCCGCGGUAAGACGUAGGAUGCAAGCGUUGUCCGGAUUUAUUGGGCGUAAAGAGUUCGUAGGUGGUUUGUUAAGUCUGAUGUUAAAGAUCGGGGCUCAACCCCGGGAGUGCAUUGGAUACUGGCAGACUGGAGUGUAGUAGAGGCAAGCGGAAUUCCAGGUGUAGCGGUGAAAUGCGUAGAUAUCUGGAAGAACACCAGUGGCGUAAGCGGCUUGCUGGGCUAUAACUGACACUGAGGAACGAAAGCCAGGGGAGCGAAUGGGAUUAGAUACCCCAGUAGUCCUGGCCGUAAACGAUGGAUACUAGGCGUAGCGGGUAUCGACCCCUGCUGUGCCGCAGCAAACGCGAUAAGUAUCCCGCCUGAGUAGUACGGCCGCAAGGUUGAAACUCAAAGGAAUUGACGGGGGCCCGCACAAGCGGUGGAACAUGUGGUUUAAUUCGAAGCAACGCGAAGAACCUUACCAGGGCUUGACAUCUGUAGAAUCUCCCGGAAACGGGGGAGUGCUCGCAAGAGAGCUACAAGACAGGUGGUGCAUGGCUGUCGUCAGCUCGUGUCGUGAGAUGUUGGGUUAAGUCCCGCAACGAGCGCAACCCUUGUCCCUAGUUGCCAGCGAGUGAAGUCGGGAACUCUAGGGAGACUGCCGGUGACAAACCGGAGGAAGGUGGGGAUGACGUCAAGUCAUCAUGGCCCUUACGGCCAGGGCUACACACGUACUACAAUGGUGGGUACAGAGGGUUGCAAGGCCGCGAGGCGGAGCCAAUCCCAGAAAACCCAUCUCAGUCCGGAUCGGAGUCUGCAACUCGACUCCGUGAAGUCGGAAUCGCUAGUAAUCGCGAAUCAGCAUUGUCGCGGUGAAUACGUUCCCGGGCCUUGUACACACCGCCCGUCAC